AAUAUCAAAGGUGAGCCAGUACAGGAUGGACCCGCGUCUGAUUAGCUAGUUGGUAAGGUAACGGCUUACCAAGGCGACGAUCAGUAGCCGACCUGAGAGGGUGAUCGGCCACAUUGGAACUGAGACACGGUCCAAACCCCUACGGGCGGCAGCAGUGGGGAAUAUUGCACAAUGGGCGAAAGCCUGAUGCAGCAACGCCGCGUGAGUGAUGAAGGCCUUCGGGUCGUAAAACUCUGUCCUCAAGGAAGAUAAUGACGGUACUUGAGGAGGAAGCCCCGGCUAA
rnacentral:rRNA from 1 species